rnacentral:tRNA from 1 species
ACCUGGCUGGCUUAGUCAAUAGAGCACAUGACUCUUGAUCACGGGGUCAGGAGUUCAAGCCCCAUGAUAGGUA